GGCGGAGUGGUGUAGUUGUUAGCAUACCGAACCCGAUAUUGGGAUACCCGGAGUUCAAAACCGGGCUCCGCCA
rnacentral:tRNA from 1 species